rnacentral:rRNA from 1 species
AUUGAACGCUGGCGGCAGGCCUAACACAUGCAAGUCGAGCGAGCGGCGGACGGGUCAGUUAUGUAUGGGGAUCUGCCCGAUAGAGGAGGAUAACUACUGGAAACGGUGGCUAAUACCGCAUACUAUAGGAUAAACCGAUUUGGGUUUAGCUAGUAGGUGGGGUAAAGGCUCACCUAGGCGACGAUCUAUACCUGGUCUGAGAGGAUGAUCAGCCACACUGUAACUGAGACACGGCCCAGACUCCUACGGGAGGCAGCAGUGGGGAAUAUUGCACAAUGGGCGCAAGCCUGAUUCAGCCAUGCCGCGUGUAUGAAGAAGGUCUUCGGAUUGUAAAGCACUUUCAGCGGGGAGGCGUUACCCGCAGAAGAAGCACCGGCUAACUCCGUGCCAGCAGCCGCGGUAAUAC